CACCUCUUGCAUAAUAUAAGAGGCACUGCCUGCCCUGUGAUUAAGAUUUAACGGCCGCGGUAUUUUGACCGUGCGAAGGUAGCGUAAUAACUUGUCUUUUAAAUGGAGACCUGUAUGAAUGGCAAGACGAGGGCUAGACUGUCUCCUUUCCCCAGUCAAUGAAAUUGAUCUCUCCGUGCAGAAGCGGAGAUACCCCCAUAAGACGAGAAGACCCUAUGGAGCUUUAGACGCCAGAGCAGACUACGUAAAGAACCCUUUCAGCUACGAAAGACGAACUAUGUAACCUCUGCCCCCAUGUCUUUGGUUGGGGCGACCAAGGGGACCCACACAACCCCCACGCGGAACGGAACAUGCCAACCCGAAGCCAGAGCCACAGCUCUAACUAGCAGAACCUCUGACCACAGAGAUCCGGCCACGCCGAUCAACGGACCGAGUUACCCUAGGGAUAACAGCGCAAUCCUCUUCUAGAGCCCAUAUCGACAAGAGGGUUUACGACCUCGAUGUUGGAUCAGGACCUCCUAAUGGUGCAGCCGCUAUUUAGGGUUCGUUUGUUCAACGAUUAAAGUCCU
rnacentral:rRNA from 1 species